rnacentral:rRNA from 1 species
CUAGGUCUAGCUGCGGCGGUGGGGAGAGAUUGGGAUCGGAAGGACAGUGGCCAUCGCCGCGGGAGGGAGGGAGCGGGAGAGGAGGAGGGGAGGAGUGCCGGCGGAGGUGGGGCGGUGUUUGGGGCCGCUGGGUGGGGCAGAGGCACGGACGGAGCCGUUGGUGGAGGCAGCGCGCAGACUAAGGGUAGGUACAGGCGCGGCCGAGGCAGAGACAGAGGAAAACACCCUCCACUAGGCGUGGAUCGGGGUGCCGCCCCUCCCCACCGCUGCCGGAGCACAUCUAGGGUAGGCCUGGGGCAUCGUCGGUCACAACGGCGGGGGUGGACGAGAGGAGACGAGGCCCUAGGUAGGUAGGUGAUCCCAAGAUGCCGGCUGGCCUCAGGUCCGGUACCGCGCCUUCUACGAGUUCCUGUCCCUCCGCGGGCGGCAGCGCAUGCCGCCGCUCCUCUCGAUGCUGAUGCUGGAGAAGCAGUAGCCGCAGCCGUCGCCACAGCAGGCGCCGAGGGCGUGGCGGCGCCCUAAGCCUCGGUUCCAACGCUAGACGCUCGUGGGCAAGGUGGGAUAGUCGAGCCUAACCGACCCUCCUGUGCCGCCUUGCACGCACUAUGUACCGACAGAAAGCUUCUUCUAUGAUCACGUAGUUUCAAUGUCAGACGUGGUACAACGACCUUUUUCAAAGCCCACGUCCUGCGGUUCUUAAAGCCCACCCUCUAGUUACCCCUGUAGUUGAUGUUGACCUUUUUCAACGACCUUUUGUUCGUGUUCCCAAGGUACCCCUAUGUUGUCGUCGUCCUGCUGGUACUGAGGUAGUUAACGUUCGAGGUCUGAGCUUCCUCCGGGAUACGUUCCGUGGUUCCACGUACCACGAGCGUUCGCUGCUUGCCUCCGAUAAGCUGUAGCCGAUGUGUUUGGUGGUAACUCGAGGUCCAGAUACUUUAAACUUCAAGCUUCGAGUAUCGGGAUGAGUCGUUUCUCGGCACAUCUGACAUUUAUAACAUUAUAACAUUAUCAUCCGUAUAAACCCAACAUUAUGUGAUACAUGUCUAACACCAUCUGAAUCAACAUAAACCAUUUGAUAUAAACAUACUGGAUGAACAUAAACCACUUGAUAUAAACAUGACAAGGCAGA